CAGCCGUAAACUAUGCUCGCUAGGUGUCAUGCAUGGCGCGACCGUGUCUGGUGCCGCAGGGAAGCCGUGAAGCGAGCCACCUGGGAAGUACGGCCGCAAGGCUGAAACUUAAAGGAUUGGCGGGGGAGCACAACAACGGGUGGAGCCUGCGGUUUAAUUGGACUCAACGCCGGACAACUCACCGGGAACGACAGCAAUAUGUAGGCCAGGCUGAAGACCUUGCCUGAAUCGCUGAGAGGAGGUGCAUGGCGUAGACGUCU
rnacentral:rRNA from 1 species